GACGAACGCUGGCGGCGUGCUUAACACAUGCAAGUCGAACGAAGUGGCGAACGGGUGAGUAACGCGUAAUCAACCUGCCCUUCAGAGGGGGACAACAGUUGGAAACGACUGCUAAUACCGCAUACUGAAGGAGGGGAUUGCGUCUGAUUAGCUAGUUGGAGGGGUAACGGCCCACCAAGGCGAUGAUCAGUAGCGGGUGUGGGGGGGUGAAAGGCCACAGUGGGACUGGGACACGGCCCAAGUUCCUACGGGAGGCAGCAGUGGGGAAUCUGCCGAAAUGGACGAAAGUCUGAAGGAGCAACGCCGCGGGAGUGAUGACGGCCUUCGGGUUGUAAAGCUCUGUUAAUCGGGACGCGGUACCGGAAUAGAAAGCCACGGCUAACUACGUGCCAGCAGCCGCGGUAAUAC
rnacentral:rRNA from 1 species